rnacentral:misc_RNA from 1 species
UGUUUCAAGUAUCAUCCUGCCAAAGCCAAAUAAAUAAACACAUGUUAAAACCUUCUUGAUCAUUAGUAAAGAAAUGAACAGCACCAUCAGUGAGCAGAAGCAUGGCAAACAGAGGUGUUGGUUAUUAUCCAUAAUGCACAACAUUUCGAUACCAGCUUGCAUCAACUUGCAAGCAAUGUUGCAAAAUGAGAGAAACAAACUCAAAACUCUAUCAUUCUUCCAGACAACAGCCCUUGGAAAAAAAAAAUCAAUAAAUUCAGAUUUGCAUUGCAAGUUCACAUUUUGAAUCAUUUACCCAAAAUCUUCAAAA